rnacentral:rRNA from 1 species
GACGAACGCUGGCGGCGUGCUUAACACAUGCAAGUCGAACGAUGAAGCUGGAGCUUGCUCCAGUGGAUUAGUGGCGAACGGGUGAGUAGCACGUGAGCAAUCUGCCCUUGACUCUGGGAUAACUGCGGGAAACUGUAGCUAAUACCGGAUACGACACCUUGGGGCAUCCCGGGGUGUGGAAAGAAUUUCGGUCAAGGAUGAGCUCGCGGCCUAUCAGCUUGUUGGUGAGGUAAAGGCUCACCAAGGCGACGACGGGUAGCCGGCCUGAGAGGGUGACCGGCCACACUGGAACUGAGACACGGUCCAGACUCCUACGGGAGGCAGCAGUGGGGAAUAUUGCACAAUGGGCGAAAGCCUGAUGCAGCAACGCCGCGUGAGGGGUGACGGCCUUCGGGUUGUAAACCUCUUUUAGCAGGGAAGAAGCGAAAGUGACGGUACCUGCAGAAAAAGCACCGGCUAACUACGUGCCAGCCGCCGCAGUAA